rnacentral:rRNA from 1 species
CCUACGGGAGGCAGCAGUAGGGAAUCUUUCACAAUGGGCGAAAGCCUGAUGGAGCAACGCCGCGUGCAGGAUGAAGGCCUUCGGGUUGUAAACUGCUUUUAUAAGCGAGAAAUAUGAUGGUAACUUAUGAAUCAGGAUCGGCUAACUACGUGCCAGCAGCCGCGGUCAUACGUAGGAUCCGAGCAUUAUCCGGAGUGACUGGGUGUAAAGAGUUGCGUAGGUGGCAUAAUAAGUAGCUAGUGAAAUCUGGUGGCUCAAACAUUCAGACUAUUAGCUAAACUGUUAAGCUCGAGUGCGUUAGGGGUAACUGGAAUGUCUAGUGUAGGAGUGAAAUGCGUAGAUAUUAGAAAGAACACCGAUAGCGUAGGCAGGUUACUGGGACGGUACUGACGCUAAGGCACGAAAGCGUAGGGAGCAAACGGGAUUAGAUACCCCGGUAGUC